AUCGACCCGGUCGUCUAGUGGUUAGGACGCGAGCUUCACACGCUCGAGAUCGAGGUUCGAUCCCCUCCAUUGAUA
rnacentral:tRNA from 1 species